rnacentral:rRNA from 1 species
UGGGGAAUAUUGCACAAUGGGCGAAAGCCUGAUGCAGCGAUGCCGCGUGCGGGAUGAAGGCCCUAGGGUUGUAAACCGCUUUCAGCAGGGAAGAAAAUGACGGUACCUGCAGAAGAAGGUGCGGCCAACUACGUGCCAGCAGCCGCGGUGACACGUAGGCACCAAGCGUUGUCCGGAUUUAUUGGGCGUAAAGAGCUCGUAGGCGGUUCAGUUAGUCGGGUGUGAAAACUCUGGGCUCAACCCAGAGACGCCACCCGAUACUGCUGUGACUAGAGUACGGUAGGGGAGUGGGGAAUUCCUGGUGUAGCGGUGAAAUGCGCAGAUAUCAGGAGGAACACCGGUGGCGAAGGCGCCACUCUGGGCCGUAACUGACGCUGAGGAGCGAAAGCAUGGGUAGCAAACAGGAUUAGAUACCCUGGUAGUCCAUGCCGUAAACGUUGGGCACUAGGUGUGGGUCUCAACCAACGAGAUCCGCGCCGUCGCUAACGCAUUAAGUGCCCCGCCUGGGGAGUACGGUCGCAAGACUA